UCGGGCACCAAGGAGAGCUGCCUGGAGACAGGCCCCGGAGAGGAGCUGGAAGCAGUGUCAGGCUCGCCUGCACCCCUGGAGGUCCCCUCCAUCCAGUCUCCUGCUGGAUCUCUUCUUACACUGCCUGCCACCCAUACCUUAGGACCCUCGACUUCUGUCCUGGCCCAGCACUGUCACAGGCCCACUGCCCUAACUGGUGCUGCCCCAGCCGCGGCUGUCCACCGUGAAUCGCAUGUAGCGUGCCACUCACUCUGGACUGCAUGGGGAGGAGGGAACAGGCGUAAGGGACCCCCACGACUGGGCCUGGUGGCCCUUGUCCUCCAGCCACACAGCCUAGCCGAUGGACGGUGGCCGGAGGGCGCCCUCUGCCACACUGCGGCCCUGGCCUAUUUAGGAAGCUGCUGGCCAGAGGCCAUGGAGCUCUAACAGGAACUCCCUCCUACCAUGUCAGGGCCAGGAUGGACAGUAGGCUGCACCUGCCCCUGGGACAGCUCACUGCCAGAGCUUGGAGGAGGCCAUCGAUCCACCCUGCUCUGAGGUUAUCUUCAGCACGCAACACCAAAGACUGGACUGACCCAGAAAACAUCCCCGUGGAGGUGUGCUGCUGAGACCGCGUGAGCCAGCCACUCCCCUGACAACCCGCAACAGGCGGAUGGACCCGUGUAAGGAUCCAAAGCCAAGCCGAAACCGAGUGCGGGCUUUCUCCAAGAGCAGACCCGGGCAGAAGACCAGAGGUGCCGGGGUCCCCGUUUCUAGAGUGGGAUGUGAUGCCGAGUGUGGAAGCCAGCAAGGACAGCCCUUCCAAUCAGAUGCAGUCUCCCUCGGGGCCAAGCCCCCAGCUCCUCAUCCUUGCUGCACGCUGGAGCUACAAGGAGUCUUAUUAAAAGCUCCAGACGGCACCUCAAACCACUAACUCGGAUCUGCGCAAAAGGCAGCCUGGUCUACAGAGCAAGUACCAGGACAGUCAGGGCUACUCAGAGAAACACUAUGUGAUAGUUUAAAUAGGUAUGCCCCCCCCCACAGAGUCAUAGGUUUAAAUGCUUGACCCACAGGGAAUGACUCUAUUAGGAGGUGUGGUCUUGUUGGAGUGGGUGUGGCCUUGUUGGAGGUCACUGUAGGAACAAGCUUUGAUGUCUUAUAUGCUCAUGCUACACAUCCUGUUGCCGUGGAUCAAGACCUAGAAUUCUCAGCUCCCGCUCCAGCACCGUGUCUGCCUGCUUCCCACCAUGAUGAUGAGCUAACCCUCCUAAACCAUGAGCCAGCCCCAAUUAAAUGUUUUUAUGACA